UCAAACAAAGUACAAUGUUACCCCUUUCACUACAUCUCAAACAAACCCUACCUGAUCUCCUGCCAACACAGCCGCUCCACUCCCUCACUCCCACAUCUCCGGCUCUUGGAUUCCCGACGACACCCACCAGCCGAACACCACCCCCCUGUCAGUUGCAGAGCCGACCACCACCAUCGGGUGGUGGUGAGUGACGUUUGGACCCAGAAGUGAGAGAGAUUAGAGAGAGAGAGGAGAGCCGACGUUGUUCGAGAGGCGACAAGGCUGAGAAGAGAGAGAGGCAUAUGGACGAGAGAGAAAGAAGGGCGGCGGCAGCACCGCCGUACACGUCGGUGGCCGGCGGCGGUUCGGAAUGAUUUUCUGGCGACCCGCCAGAGAAGAUGAUGGUGGCGGCGGUUUUGUUUCUCCUGACAGCUUCACGAUAAACCCCGUUUCCUUUUUUUAUAUCUUUUCGCUUCCUGUCGGUUUUGUUGUCCGAUGAUGAUGAUAGUGGUAUUAUUUUGAAGAUGAGAGGUUGAAAGGGACUGAUGGUGCGUUGAUUUGUGUGGUUGUUUCGAGCUCGGGUCAGGUUAAGGAUCAAGGUCAGCCGCGGUUCAGGAGUUUCGGGUCACCCAUGGGUUUGUUCGGGUCAGAUCUGGUCAAGCCUUGGAUGUCAGCUUUGGAUCAAAGUCAGUGGGUUCGGGUCGGAUCCAGAGAUGUUUGGGUCAAGCUCUGAAUUUUUGGGUUUUGGUUGACUCGGUCAAACACUCAAGAGGACUAACCAGCUGGACCUCAGUCUGCAGCCAAUAUAUUCAUGCUACUAGAGGCUUCAUGAUUUGUCCUCGGCUCUCGAGCAACCACAACAGUAUUAAUUACAGUUAGUUGUACGUGAUGACGAUCAGUAGCGGAGCAUGAAAGAAAACGCGGUGGGGGCCGGACUCUCAAAAUCCUCAAGACGGUAUGAAGGUUAUGGAUUCAUCGGAACGAAAAAGUCAUCAACAGAACAAAAAUAUCGGUCUUCAAGGUAGUGGAGGACAUAAAAGAAAUAACGUUUUGGUGGGUGACGAAGUGGUCAAGGCUUCAAGGGAAUCACUUUACAAAAGGGGUGUUCAUUUACUGGUGAAAUGCUCUAAAGGAACCACAAAACUCCACCAAAUCUUGCAAAGCUAGGAUGGGAUCGUAGGUGUCACUUCAAGAGCCGAAACCCACAAAGUGGAGCGAGCGAGGCGACGAUCAUGCAACAAGCCACCGCCGAGUAUUGCAAAACGUACAAAAAGAGAACUUUUCCACACGUGGCGUCAUGGGAAGUUGCGAGACAUCACCCGAAGUGGGUCCCCGUUGAGUUGGUUGACACGCAUGGUCCUACGGCUCCAAAAAAACGAGGCGGUUCGAAAAGAUCAAAGACAUCCGAUUCGGGGAACUACACGACUUCCGCGUCGGAUAACUUGCCCCAAAUGAACUUAAACGACGACCCUCUUGACGAACCCGAUCAACCCCUUGACGAGCCCGUUGAGGAAGAUACACCCACAAGGCCACGACGCAGACGAGGUGGUGAAUCGUCAAGCAAAGGGAAGGAGGCGGUGGCGGAGUCGAUCUUUAGAAUCGAAGAGGAGAAAAUGACCCAAUUCAAGAAGGCCGAACAAAGAAAAGAAACAAUGAUGUCCCUAAAAGUUGAACGGGAGCAGGCGUACAAGGAACACUUGAAAACGAUUGAAAGACAAAAUGAUUUAAAAAUCUUGUGUGAAAACCACGCCCAUCUUGAUGAACCGUUCAAGUCAGUUGUCAUUGAACAAAAGCGCGCGAUUUGCGCAAAGUGGGGUUGGGAGAUGCCACCGGUUUAGUUGUUUUUUUUAUUUGGUUAUGUAAUUUAUUUUUAAAGUUUAAUGAAAUUUAUAAUUUAGUGUUU